UGGGGAAUUUUGGACAAUGGGGGCAACCCUGAUCCAGCCAUGCCGCGUGAGUGAGGAAGGCCUUCGGGUUGUAAAGCUCUUUCGGCCGGGAAGAAAUCGCAUAGGCUAAUACCCUGUGUGGAUGACGGUACCGGAAUAAGAAGCACCGGCUAACUACGUGCCAGCAGCCGCGGUAAUACGUAGGGUGCGAGCGUUAAUCGGAAUUACUGGGCGUAAAGCGUGCGCAGGCGGUUUAGUAAGACAGGCGUGAAAUCCCCGGGCUCAACCUGGGAACUGCGCUUGUGACUGCUAAGCUAGAGUACGGCAGAGGGGGGUGGAAGUCCACGUGUAGCAGUGAAAUGCGUAGGGAUGUGGAGGAAGACCGAUAGCGAAGGCAGGACCCGGGGCCGAUACUGACGCUCAUGCACGAAAGCGUGGAUAGCAAACA
rnacentral:rRNA from 1 species